rnacentral:rRNA from 1 species
CCUACGGGAGGCUGCAGUGGGGAAUAUUGCACAAUGGUGGGAACUCUGAUGCAGCGACGCCGCGUGAGUGAAGAAGUAAUACGUUAUGUAAAGCCCUAUCAGCAGGGAAGAAAGUGACGGUACCUGAAAAAGAAGCACCGGCUAAAUACGUGCCAGCAGCCGCGGUAAUACGUAUGGAGCAACCGUUAUCCGGAGUUACUGGGUGUAAAGGGAGAGUAGGUGGCAGAGAAAGUGCGAAGUGAAAACCCAAAGUUCAACUAAGGGAAUGCUUGAGAAACUGCUCAGCUAGAGUGGAGGAGAGGCAAGUGGAAUUCUUGGUGUAGCGGUGAAAUGCAUAGAUAUUAGGCAGAACACCAGUGGCGAAGGCGGCUUGCUGGACUGUAACUGACGCUGAGGCUCGAAAGCGUGGGGAGCGAACAGGAUUAGAUACCCCAGUAGUC